rnacentral:rRNA from 1 species
GGGAUAUUGCGCAAUGGGCGAAAGCCUGACGCAGCGACGCCGCGUGGGUGAUGAAGGCCUUCGGGUCGUAAAGCCCUGUCGAGGGGGAAGAAUCGGUCGCGCCCCAACACGUCGCGAUCCUGACGGUACCCCUAAAGGAAGCACCGGCUCACUCCGUGCCAGCAGCCGCGGUAAUACGGAGGGUGCGAGCGUUGUUCGGACUCACUGGGCGUAAAGCGCGUGUAGGCGGCCCAUUAAGUCUGAUGUGAAAGCCCGGGGCUCACCCCCGGAAGUGCAUUGGAAACUGAUGGGCUGGAGUCCCGGAGAGGAGGGUGGAAUUCCUGGUGUAGCGGUGAAAUGCGUAGAUGUCAGGAGGAACACCGGUGGCGAAGGCGGCCCUCUGGACGGUGACUGACGCUGAGACGCGAAAGCGUGGGGAGCAAAC